rnacentral:rRNA from 1 species
AUUGAACGCUGGCGGCAUGCCUUACACAUGCAAGUCGAACGGUAGAGGGGCAACCCUCGAGAGUGGCGAACGGGUGAGUAAUGCAUCGGAACGUGCCCAGUCGUGGGGGAUAACACUUCGAAAGAAGUGCUAAUACCGCAUACGACCUGAGGGUGAAAGCGGGGGAUCGCAAGACCUCGCGCGAUUGGAGCGGCCGAUGUCAGAUUAGGUAGUUGGUGGGGUAAAGGCCUACCAAGCCGACGAUCUGUAGCUGGUCUGAGAGGACGACCAGCCACACUGGGACUGAGACACGGCCCAGACUCCUACGGGAGGCAGCAGUGGGGAAUUUUGGACAAUGGGCGAAAGCCUGAUCCAGCCAUGCCGCGUGCGGGAAGAAGGCCUUCGGGUUGUAAACCGCUUUUGUCAGGGAAGAAAUCUUCUGGGCUAAUACCUCGGGAGGAUGACGGUACCUGAAGAAUAAGCACCGGCUAACUACGUGCCAGCAGCCGCGGUAAUACGUAGGGUGCAAGCGUUAAUCGGAAUUACUGGGCGUAAAGCGUGCGCAGGCGGUGAUGUAAGACAGAGGUGAAAUCCCCGGGCUCAACCUGGGAACUGCCUUUGUGACUGCAUCGCUGGAGUGCGGCAGAGGGGGAUGGAAUUCCGCGUGUAGCAGUGAAAUGCGUAGAUAUGCGGAGGAACACCGAUGGCGAAGGCAAUCCCCUGGGCCUGCACUGACGCUCAUGCNCGAAAGCGUGGGAAGCUAACAGGNUUANAUACCCUGGUAGUCCNCNNCNUAACCGAUGUCACCUGGUUGUUGGGAGGGUUUCUUCUCAGUAUCGAAGCUANCGCGUGAAGUUGACCGCCUGGGGAGUACGGCCGCAAGGUUGAAACUCNNAGGAAUUGACGGGGANCCGCACAAGCGGUGNAUGAUGUGGUUUAAUUCGAUGCAACGCGAAAAACCUUACCUACCCUUGACAUGNCAGGAAUCCCNCAGAGAUGUGGNAGUGCUCGAAAGAGANCCUGCACACAGGUGCUGCAUGGCCGUCGUCAGCUCGUGU